GGACGAACGCUGGCGGCGUGCCUAAUACAUGCAAGUCGAGCGAAGUUUUUCUGGUGCUUGCACCGGAAAAACUUAGCGGCGAACGGGUGAGUAACACGUAAAGAACCUGCCUCAUAGACUGGGACAACUAUUGGAAACGAUAGCUAAUACCGGAUAAUAGCAUUAACUGCAUGGUUGAUGUUUAAAAGUUGGUUUUGCUAACACUAUGAGAUGGCUUUGCGGUGCAUUAGCUAGUUGGUGGGGUAAAGGCCUACCAAGGCGACGAUGCAUAGCCGACCUGAGAGGGUGAUCGGCCACACUGGGACUGAGACACGGCCCAGACUCCUACGGGAGGCAGCAGUAGGGAAUCUUCCGCAAUGGGCGAAAGCCUGACGGAGCAACGCCGCGUGAGUGAAGAAGGAUUUCGGUUCGUAAAGCUCUGUUGUUAGGGAAGAAUGAUUGUGUAGUAACUAUACACAGUAGAGACGGUACCUAACCAGAAAGCCACGGCUAACUACGUG
rnacentral:rRNA from 1 species